rnacentral:rRNA from 1 species
UAUCUCUGUAGAGUCUGCAUAUCAAUAAGCGGAGGAAAAGAAACUAACAAGGAUUCCCUUAGUAACGGCGAGUGAAGCGGGAAGAGCUCAAAUUUGAAAUCUUCAAGGUUCUACCUUGACGAAUUGUAGUUUAUAGAAGUGUUCUCUGUUAGUGGAGUGGCAAAAGUUCUUUGGAAUAGGACAUCAUAGAGGGUGAGAAUCCCGUAUUUGGUCAUUCCUCCUAGCGUUGUGAUACACUUUCAACGAGUCGGAUUGUUUGGGAAUGCAGUCCAAAAUGGGUGGUAAAUUUCAUCUAAAGCUAAAUAUUGGCGAGAGACCGAUAGCGAACAAGUACCGUGAGGGAAAGAUGAAAAGAACUUUGAAAAGAGAGUUAAACAGUACGUGAAAUUGUCAAAAGGGAAGCGUUUGACACCAGUGUUGUUUUUCCGAAAAUCAAUUACGAAUGUUUUGUUUUUGAGGAGUUAUGACUUCAUCGGCUUGCUCCUUUCUUUACGAAACUUUCUUAAUGCACUUUUCGGUUAACAAGUCAACAUCAAUUUCUUUUGUUGUAAAAGGGUAUGAGGAAGGUGGCUUUCUUUUCGGAGAAAGUGUUUAUAGCCUUGUGCCUCUGCAAUCGGAGAGAUUGAGGUCUGCAGCGUAGAUCCUUCGGGGUUAGAUACGUUUGUGCUAAGUUAUAGCUUUUCAUAGACAACUUGUUGACUAUGUUUAGUCUUGUAGCUUACUCGCUGACGCUAUUUUACCUACGCUUAGGAUGUUGAUGUGAUACUGCGAGC